AGCAGCCGCCGCGGUAACACGGAGGAUCCAAGCGUUAUCCGGAUUUAUUGGGUUUAAAGGGUGCGUAGGUGGUUUUUUAAGUCAGGGGUGAAAGACGGCAGCUUAACUGUCGCAGUGCCUUUGAUACUGAAGAACUUGAAUGAACUAGAGGUAGGCGGAAUGUGACAAGUAGCGGUGAAAUGCAUAGAUAUGUCACAGAACACCGAUUGCGAAGGCAGCUACCUGGUCCUAAAUUGACGCUGAGAUACGAAAGCAUGGGGAUCAAACAGGAUUAGAUACCCGAGUAGUCCCUGUCUCUUAUAA
rnacentral:rRNA from 1 species